GCUGGAUAACAGUGGAUCAUCAGAGAAUCCUAACGAAAUGUGUCUCAGGAUUGUCUCUUGGUGAACAGAGGGGGAAGCCUUUAUCUACCUCCUGCCAUGGUUCAAGGAUUACUCUACAGAGUUACUUCCCACACAGCUGGGUUGCAUUUGUGUGAGUUCCCACUGGUAUCCAUAUCAGAGAAACUGAAGCCAGAAGCUUCUAGGUUGUACCUGCAUGAAGCUGGUCAAAGCCUUUGAAGAACUGGACAUGGGAAUAAGAGGAUGGUGCUAGCAUAUAUAAGACUGAAACACCAAAGGCCUCCGUGGAAGUUAAUGAACUUCUGGUUAUGAGUUGGAUUCUUCAGCGGAGUAUUUGAGCCAUGCCUUGAGGCACAUACUUCAAGUUGCUGCAUCCAGUUUUAAACUCCAGAUUGAGCUUUACAUAUUAAACGUGCACAUUUGUUUUCACAUUUUUGAGCUUUGCCAGUGGCACCCUCUCUAAUUAAUCAUCCCGCAGGCUUAGAAAACUUCUGCCCAAUCCUUUCUGAUUUGUUAAAAGAAAGAGAGAAGGUUUUAGUCUGAAAAAGGCCUUAUCUGAUAGACAUCACAUUAUACGGAUUUUUACAUUUAAGUACAUUUUCUUUUUAAAUCCGGUGGCUUUCCCAAACUAGAAAGAUGGAGUGUUUGCAUACAUCCACCAACCACCAACAUCAGCAGAAAGAAAGCUUGAUACAGUAAAGGAAAGAAAUGGCAAUUUAACAGUUCUUUUAUUUUCCAUUCAGAUCACGUACACGUUAACCAAAUGAGGCCUCACAGCAUGGAAUCUGAUAUCAUAGCAAUGUUUUCAGGAAGCAAUAAUUUAAUACUCCUCAUUAAAAAGGGUCAUAAAAGAAUCCUAUUAAAACCAAUAUGAAUAAUAAACCUUGAAAAUGCUGCUUUAAAUUCCAAGAGGAUGGCGAAGAUCUGCGUCAGUAACAGUCUUCCUGUUCAUAGAGUGAUUUUGAAAAUCUCCUGGGCUGAAUUUUUCCAAGCCAAGCAGGCAUCUCACUAUCCAGUGAAAGACCCAGGGACUAUUUUGAAUGCAUUCAAUCCAAGCCUGUGCCUUCCACAAUCAGUUUUCUCCAAGAAUUUAUCCCUAAUCCUGACAGGAUACCCAACCGAAAGGCUAAUUAUUUUUAAUCACUUAAUUAAUAGAUAAUUCUUACAAAGAGCCCAACACCUGAACCCACCAAGUCCUCUUUGCAUGGGCAAAUCCAGCUGGUUUGAUGCACUAAUUUCACUAAAUGAAAAUUUGGACAAAUU
rnacentral:lncRNA from 1 species